UACGAAGGGGGCUAGCGUUGCUCGGAAUCACUGGGCGUAAAGCGCACGUAGGCGGCUUCUUAAGUCAGGGGUGAAAUCCUGGAGCUCAACUCCAGAACUGCCUUUGAUACUGAGGAGCUUGAGUCCGGGAGAGGUGAGUGGAACUGCGAGUGUAGAGGUGAAAUUCGUAGAUAUUCGCAAGAACACCGGUGGCGAAGGCGGUUCUCUGGGCCUGUACUGACGCUGAGGAACGAAAGCGUGGGGAGCGAACAGGA
rnacentral:rRNA from 1 species